CGACCCAGCAGAACCAGCUGUCUUUCUACUGAGACUUAGCUCUGAAGUUUCAAGGCACAAGUCCUCAGUGAGGACAGUAUUCAAGCGUGAUCCCAAACUUCAGCUCUCGUUGCUUUAGCCUUGUCUACAAAACGUGAGACGAGCACAGCCAUCCUCCAUUAUUAGCACGAAACAAAAAGAACUGCACUCUUAUUGGCCUCCACCAUGUCUGGAGCACACAUGUCGACUGCAUGAAAAGAGGGCAGCGUUCGUAAACUGCAGAGACCCAACAACCUACCAUGGUGACAGCUGCCAGAGACAUCUUUAAACACACCAAAAAUAUGAAAAUCCAAAAGGGUGAAGUCAUAGUGCCCCAUGCAGAUAAAGACAGUGGUGGAGACUGCUUUCAACAGCUAAUCAUUUUUCUAUUCAGUGUGCCUCACAAUGGCCAAGUUCUGACUAGUUCCUACUUGCAUUAGUGAUAAGAAACUCUUCUCUUGUAAUACUACUACUUAGCACUUAUACAGUAUGACAGAUAUUGCAGCCUUGGCAUCUUUGGGAGCCAAUGUAUUAAAUGUAUGAAUUGUUUAUGUCUGAUUGUGCUCUGUUCCAUGGGGAGAGGGUUGUCACAGCUCCUCCAGGAACUAAGAACACAGGGGUGUGAUUAAGGCAAGUCACUGAGACUAAACAACUCUAGAAGGGUACCAGCCCCUGGAGAGAUUCA